rnacentral:lncRNA from 1 species
GAAAGAUUCCAGCUUCUCAGAUAAACGUGCUUCUGUAAACUCUUAUGAACUUGCUUACAGCAUCUGGGUUGAGAUCAAGAGUUAUAUCCUCUCCCUGGGAACUGAUGUCUUGGCCUUAUUGAGAGUUGCUGAAAAAGUCAUGAAAGAGUAGAGGAAGAAAGAGGAAGAAAAUACUAUGGACUUAGAGAAGAAUUCAGAGGAAAAGUAAAGAUAGACACAGAAAAAGAAAGCCAGAGACUCAGGAGAUUGGAGGCUUCAUCUGUAUUCAUCAUGGUGUGACAUAAACCAGAGGAGCCACACCUUAAGACAGGCAUUGACGAGAACCAAAUUGUCUGCUUACACAUUUUGCAUAACUAAUGAUUAGAAAAGAUUCUCCGGAAGAAGCUUCUGUGAAUUUCAAGCCCUAUUGCUCUUGCCUACCAACACUUUGGUAUCAGACUACUGGGGAUUCGGGAAAUCUGACUUGAAACCAGCCUGAGGAAUACUGUGAAUAAAAGCUCUGCUUCUCAACCACCAUGAUCUAAGCAUCUUUGCUCUGCCAUGCCCUUCUGCUAUGACGUUCCUGCCUUGAAGUCAAAUAGCAAAGGGCUGAAUCCCCUGAAACUGCUGAAUGUGACAUCCUGGGGAAACUUCCUCCUGAGACACUGUGCCUGCCUCUCCUCUAUCAGAUAUUCUUAAUACUGCGGUGAUCUUCUGUUGGUCUCCCGCAUAUGAGCAUCACCGCCUAGAGGAUUCUACAGCUCAAAGGGUUAAUAAUUUCUGAAGAGGCCAAUUUGCGGUGAGAGCUGACCUGAAUACUGCUAUCCUUGGGGGCUGCUCUGGAUCAUUUGCACUGACUCAGAAACCCGGGCUUAAAGCACACUUCGAACAUAAGGCUGCUGCCCCAGAAGCAAGGAUCUGGGACCCAAGGAAGGAGCCCCAUCCAGAUGGCAGUCUCUCACUGAUCCAGCAACCAACAGAAGGUCAUUGUUGGAGGCAGAGAGCUGUGGCUGCACUAGGCUAUUUACUUGUUCUAGAGAUGCCACUGGCAGUGAAAUAGGUCACACCCUAUUAAUCUGACUGGUAGGAAGAUAAGUUUUGCAAGAGUCUGGCUGGAAGGAUUUUA